AUCACGGUCCCAUUUGUGUGAUUUAUGUUGAGUGGAUUCGCAAGUUGCAAAGAGUAAUCAUAUUCCAGCAUGCCAGAAUUCUACAAAGACAAAAGCCAUUAAGGCGCCAAAACCAACGGGUAGUCGCAUCUUGAAGCCGAAAUCUCCUGGUGUUAAUUUCGAGGACUAUUUCGAAGGAGCUCAUAUGAGUCGUACAACCAAAAACAACAGACCUAAUUAAUAGGGAUGUUGAGUGAGGAAAUCGAUCAAACACGAAGGAAUAAGGUUUAUCCAUUUCUGUUCGAAUCGAUUUGCGCUUGUUGUCUUUGAAGAUAGGAUUGGGUGGGAGUUACAUCUUGAAAGGAUAUUCAACUGAAAAGAAGAAUUUUAGGUUCUGACGGAAAUAUUAAUUUGAACCGCACUGCCGUAGAAUUAACCUAUGCUUUCAUGAUGAGGGUGAUUUUUACUGAACAGAAUUUGGAAUCAAUCCAGAAGUGAAUUGAAGAAUUUUAAGGUACUCAGGCUGCAAGCUUUUUGCCCCAGAAGUAGGAACGUAUGCUUCUAAGAUUGGCUGAUAGAAUAUUGGAGGAUGCUGUAGUUUCACAUUAUAUUACUUGGGCAUUAAUUUAAUGCUUUACCAAUAAUUAAUCA